UACGUAGGUGGCAAGCGUUGUCCGGAUUUAUUGGGUUUAAAGGGUGCGUAGGCGGUUCUAUAAGUCAGUGGUGAAAUACGGCAGCUCAACUGUCGAGGUGCCAUUGAUACUGCAGAACUUGAGUACAGACGAGGUAGGCGGAAUUGACGGUGUAGCGGUGAAAUGCUUAGAUAUCGUCAAGAACACCGAUAGCGAAGGCAGCUUACUAGACUGUAACUGACGCUGAGGCACGAAAGUGUGGGAUCAAACAG
rnacentral:rRNA from 1 species